rnacentral:lncRNA from 1 species
UUGUAUCGGCUUCUAAUUCUUUGUAUUCAACUUUAUUAUUUGAUGUUUUUAUUUUUUCGUGACUGGUUUUAUGAUUCUCCCAAAUCCCUUUUGGAGAGCUAGGAGAAUAUUAAGAUGAAUAAUCUUAUGUUAGAUUCAUCAUUGAAAAUUUAUUUUAAUUAUUUUUUUAUAUAGUUUUUUAUGCUCAAAAUAUUGAUGGGACCUAUAUCAAUAGCCGAACAAACUUUAUAUGAUGGAGCUUGGAGUGUUCUAGCUAUUUUUUUUUAUGUGAUUUUUGAUGCUCGAAUCUACUUUUAAGGCAAAGGUUAGAGAUUUGCGUUCAACUUACCACUUAAAUUUAUUAUUUUUUGUAAAGUAUAUAUUGUUGAUCACAAUUAUAAUAUUCAAUUUGAGAAGUUACUCUAUGAUAGAGAUUGAAGUAUACUAGCUACUUUAUUUUUUUUAUGUAGUUUUCAUGCUCAAAACAUCAAUGAAAUCUAUAAUUGAAAUAAAAAGUUGACUAAAUUUUUUGAUGGAGAUCGAAGAAGAUAUUAUUUGUUGAGUUUUAGAUUGAUGAGAAAUAAUAAGAGAAUUUUUAAUGCAAUUGUUUGAGGUUUGCUUUCAACUUUUCACUUAAUUUUUUUCUUUUUGUAAAAUAUAUAUUGUUGAUUGCAAUUAUAACACUAAAUAAUUAAAUAAUUUUUUCAAAUAUAACAUUCAAUUGAAUUUUUCCCUUACAAAGUUUAUAGGGUACAAAAAAGAAAAUUAACUAAGCUACAAAAUCUUAGGUACUUCUAUGUUUUCAUGUAGUAGCUACGAUAGCACCAAAACAUUAAUCCAACAACAGAGUACUUUUCCUUAAUGCUACGCUGUGUGCUGUUGUAGGAGUAUCAUAUACUCCAACAACAAUAUUUUUCAAAUAAAUAACUUAAAUAGAAAAAAUAGUCAAAUGUCCUCCAACCUUUACCUCAAAUCUUAACUACACACUUAUAUUUUGUGAGGGUCUUAUAACCCCCUAAACUAUUUUAAAGUGGAAUUAAUACCCCUGAAACAUGACAAGAGAGUGUAUUUCACUCUCUUUAAAGAGAGUGAGGACAAUUUUUUUAUUAAAAAUUUAUUUUUAAUAUUUCUUUACUCUUUUCUUUAUUCAUUUUUAAUAAUUAUUCUUCUUUAUUUAUUUUGUUUCUUCUUCUUCUUCUUCUUGAACUCAACAAUGACAUCUUCAAGAACUCAACAAUGACAUCCAAUUCAAAACUAAUUUAUCAUCUCCUUCAAUAUAAGUCAUAGUAAACGGCCAAACUACACCAACUACCAGUUUAUCCAAACUAACAAUCAUUUCCCUAAAAGCUCCAUUCCUCGGAACACUAAAAUUAUUAAAACUUACAUACUCAUUAACCAAAUUACCAUACCAAGAAUCAUCGAUCUCAUGAAAUGAAACAUAAACUUUCAACAAUGCUCUGUACACAUUUUGUGGAAUCUUGAAAUCUUUUAACUUUACAUCGAUUGAAUUUUCAAUCUCAAAUCAUAAAUCAUCAUUCAAAUCCACAUUUCUUGAAAUUGAAACAAUCAAAUCAGCACCAUAAUCAAAAUCAACACCAAAUUUUUUCACAAUCAUAAAUUCAACAUCAAUUUUUCAAAGUUGAGAAAUUAAAAAAAAAAAAAAAAAAAGGAAAGAAAAAAGAACAAGAUUGAAAAACAACAUUUCUACUCGACAUUGUAUCAAAUAUUUGUUGAGCAUAAUCUAACAUCCCAUUUCUCACAUAUCCAGAAAUCAUACAGUUCCUACAUUCUUUUUGGGGCAUUUCGUUGAACAAUUUGUGUGCUUCCUCAGCAUCACCUUUCUUGAAAAAAGUAGUAAUUCUUGAGUUCCAAUUGAACAACGAGUUUGCAAUUGAACUCACAUAACGAAUACAGAAAUGAAAAAUUUUGUUCCUAAAGCAAAUGUGUGAAGCCGUGCAAAUUUUCAUUCUUGAAGCAAAUUUUUUUUUCUAAACUUUGAAUUUAAUAGUUGACUUUGAAUUUACUAUAUAAUAAAGGUUUGAGAUUUAACAAAGGUUUGAGAUUGCAGAAAAUCAAAUGAAGAGAAAGGGAAAAAAAAGAACAAUAGAAUGGAGAAUCAUUAUUGUGGAAAAACAUGAAAUAAAUGAAAAAAAGUGAUGAAAUUGAAAAGGAAAUUAAAAAAGUAUAAAAAGUAAAAAAUAUAAUAAAUAGAAUUAAUUAAUUUUUUAUAUUAAAAAAAGUAAUAUUAUGUGGCAUGACAUGGCAGCGAGUGCAGCUCACUGCCUGAAACAAUGUCUGGGCAUCAGUUUUCGGGUGUGUAAAUAGUCCACUUUAAAAUAGUUCAGGGGAGUCAUAGGACCCCCGCAAAGUAUAGGUGUGUAAUUGAAAUUUGAAGUAAAGGUUGGGGAGGGGGGAAUUUUGGCCAUUUUUUCUAACUUAAAUAUCGCAUGUAUUGUUCAAUUUAGUUUGAUGUCUUAUUAUUUAUUUAUAUGUUGGAGUGUCAUGUACUUUUUUGAGUAAAAUAUAUGGUAAAAGAUAUUAGAUGAAUUAAUAAUUAAGGUCAUAAAUUCUAUAAUAAAAAUAAAAUAUAUUUUAAAACUCUGAAACCAAAAUAGAAUUCAAAUAAUUUUAAUAGUCUUUGUUCUUUUUCUUUUCUAUUUUAAAGCACUGAUCUUUUUUUUUUACUAGAUUUGGCAUCUAUGUGAUGGUUGUAACAAUAUAGCUAAAUGUGAGAAAAUAAGAAAUAACGAUGCUUAUGAUGAUGAGGUGCUUCUUAAUUAUGAAGAAGAUGACAAAAACAUCCAUGAUUUUACUACAAAAGUCAAUGGAAAGUUGGCAAAAACUGAGGCGCUACUAUGUGAAUCUUUAAUUCUCAAUAAUACUUUUCAUUAGUUGUCUUCAUAGAUUCAGAUGACUAAGAGAUGGUAUGACAAUUCACAUUUUACUUUCAAAAAAAAUUCUGCUACAUUAUUCUUUCGUGUAAUUUUAAUUGUUCAAAACUAUACUACCAUAAAUUUUGUACUAUCAGAUGAUUAAAAAAAAACUAUGACUCAUAAAUAAGAAUACUAUUAUAAAACAAGAAAGAAUAGAGAGAGUAAUUGUUAUUUCUCUUGAGGGAUGAUUUACAAUGAAGGAAGCCCUUCUAUUUAUAGGGGGAAUUUGCCCUUAGUUUUACACUAAAAGACAAAGACAUCAAAUCCUAAUAGACAUCAAAUAGAUCUUGAUAGACAUUUCACUAUAAUUGAUAUAUAUCAUAACACUCCCCUUUGAAUGUCUAACAAUAUGCAUAUAGGCUGCUUCAUUAAAAAACUUACAAGGAAAAUUCAAUGGGACAAAACCGCGUAAGGGAAAAAGAGUACAGCGCGUAUUAUCCCCCCCUAAUAAGAACAUCCUUGAACCUUUGCAUUCCAAUCUUGUGCACCAUUUUCUUGAAAGUUGUAGUUGGAAGAGACUUGGCAAAUAAGUCAGCCAUAUUGUCACUUGAAUGAAUUUGUUGUACGUCAAUAUCACCAUUCUUUUGGAGCUCAUGUGUAUAGAAGAGCUUUGGCAAAAUGUGCUUCGUUCUAUCUCCUUUUAUGAAUCCCCUUUAAGUUAUGCUAUGCUUGCUGCAUUAUCUUUAUAUAAAAUCGUGGGUACUUUGUCAUAUUUCAAGCGACAUUUUUCUCGAAUGAAAUGUAUUAUGGACCCAACAACACAAACUCUCGGCUUGCUUUAUGAGUAGCUAUCAUCUCAGCAUGAUUCAAUGAAAUGGCUACGAUAGAUUGUUUUGUUGAUCUCUAAGAUAUAAUAGUACCCCCAUAUAUGAAUACAUAACUUGUUUGAGACCGAGCUUUAUGCGGGUUAGAUAAGUACCCAGCAUCAGCAUAACCAACAAGAUCAGAACUACAAUCUUUAAAAUAAAAUAAUCCCAUAUCGAUAGUCCCCUUUAGAUACCGUAAUAUCUGUUUGAUCCCAUUCCAAUGUCUCCUAGUAGGAGUAGAACUAUACCUUGCUAGUAAAUUUACUGAAAAGGCAAUAUCAGGCCUUGUAGUAUUUGCAAGAUACAUUAGUGCACCAAUUGCACUAAGAUAUGGUAUUUCAGGACCAAGGAGUUCCUCAUUCCUUUUUUGAGGUCAGAAUGGAUCCUUAUUCAUAUCAAGUGAUCGAACAACCAUCAGAGUACUUAAUGGAUGUGCUCCAUCCAUAUAGAAUCGUUUCAACACCUUUUCUGCGUAGGCAUAUUGAUGGACAAAGAUACCAUUUGUCAAAUGCUCAAUUUGCAAACCAAGGCAUAACUUUGUCUUUUUGAGAUCUUUCAUCUCAAAUUCUUUAUUUAGGUAAUCAAUUACAUUUUGAAGCUCUAUUGGCGUUCCAAUAAGGUUUAUAUCAUCGACAUAGACAACAAUUAUAACAAACUCCGACGUUGUUUUCUUUAUGAAAACACAUGGGCGAAUUUCAUCAUUCGUAUAACCUUCUUUAGAUAAAUAUUCACUAAGACGGUUAUACCAAAUGCGUCCAAAUUGCUUCAAAUCAUACAAUGAUCUUUGCAAUCUAAUGGAAUGCAUUUCUCGAGGCUUUGAACUAUAUGCUUUCAGUAUUUUAAAUUCUUCAGAAAUUUUCAUGUAUAUCUCAUUAUCAAGUGAUCCAUAUAGAUAGGUUGUUACCACAUCCAUCAAAUGCAUUUCAAGUCUCUCAUGGAUAGUGAAACUAAUAGGAUAAUGCAAUGUUAUUGCGUCCAUAACUGGUGAAUAUGACUCAUCAUAAUCGACACCAGGCCGUUGUGAAAAUCCUUGUGCAACAAGGCAUGCUUUAUACCUUUGUAUUUCAUUUUUCUUAUUUUUUUCGCACAAGGACCCAUUUAUAACCAACAGGCUUAACACCAUUAGGUGUUUGAGCUAUAGGUCCAAAAACUUUACGUUUGACAAGUGAAUUCAAUUCAGAUUGAAUUGCUUCUUGCCAUUUUGUCCAGUCAUUUCUUUGUCGAUAUUUUGUGAUAGAUCAAGGUUCAAGAUCCUCACUAUCUUGCAUGAUUUUCAUUGCAACAUCAUAUGCAAAGACAUAAUCCACUACUAUUUCAGGUCGAUUCAAAUUAGUUUCAAUAUCACUUGAAUUUAUGGAUAGUUCCUCAUUUUCUUGAGUCUCAGGCUCAUUAAUUCCUUCAGGAAUAUUAACAUUUCUCAAAUCUUGAACUUUCAUAUGAGGAUUUUUCGUAGUGUCAUGUUGAGCAUUUAUUUAUUUUUCUAGGAUUUUGAUCCUUAGAACCUAAUGGUCUGGCAUGCUUCAAGCGUACUUUAGAUUCAUUAGCUAUGACACUAGUGGAUGGUCCUUUAGGAACACCAAUUCGAAUUGAGACAUUCUCUGUAGAAAUAUGUGAUUUAGUGAUCUUUUUCAAAUCUGUAAAUACGACCGGCAUUUGAUUUGCAAUUCUCUGCAGAUGAAUAAUCUUUUGUAGUUCUUGCUCACAAAUAGAAGCACGUGGAUCGAGAUGAGAUAGUGAUGGAUUUUUCAAUAAAAUUUCUCUUUUAGUGUCACUAUCUUCUCCACCUAAUUUUGGAAAAACUAUCUCAUCAAAUCGAUAACCUGCAAAGCAGUGAACGUAUCUCCCGUUAAUGGUUCAAGAUAGCAAAUAAUAGAGGGUGAUUCAAACCCAACAUAAAUUUCUAACCAUCUUUGGGGACCAUCUUGGUGCGGUUUGGUGAUGCUAUAGGCACAUAUACUCCGCACCCAAAAAUUUUCAAAUGAGAUAUAUUAGGCUCUUGACCUAAAACCAAUUGCAACGGAGAAAAUUUAUGAUAAUUUAUCUGUCUAAGACAAACAAGUGUUGCAGCAUGCAAAAUUGCAUGACCCCAAACAGAAGUGGGCAACUUAGUUUUCAUAAGCAAUGGUCUUGCUAUCAACUGUAGACGUUUACUUAAUGACUUGGCAAGGCCAUUUUGAGUAUGAACAUAGGGUACAGGAUGUUCCACUCUUAUCCAAAUCGAUAAGCAAUAAUCACUAAAUGCUUGGGAUAGAAAUUCUGCAACAUUAUCAAAGAGAAUAGACAUAAUUUGAUUAUUGGGAAACUGUGCCCGUAAUCAUAUUAUUUGUGCCAAUAAUUUUGCAAAUGCUAAGUUGCGAGAUGACAAAAGGCACACAUGAGACCAUCUAGAAGAAGCGUCUAUUAGGACCAUGAAGUAUCUAAACGACCCACUUGGUGGGUGAAUUGGUCCACAAAUGUCCCCAUAUAUAAGUUCAAAGAACGCGGGGGACUCAAUCCCAACUUUUGUUGGCGAUGGCCUCAUAAUCAGCUUGCCUUGAUAACAAGCAUUACAUGAAAAUUCACCAUUUGAAAGAACCUUCAAGUUGUUUAAUGGAUGCCCAUUUGAAUUUUUUAUGAUUCAUCUCAUCAUUAUUGAUCCUGGAUGUCCCAGACGAUCAUGCUAAAGUAUAAAAGUAUUAGAAUCAGUAAACUUUCGGUUUACUAUAGAAUGUGCUUCAAUUGCACAAAUCUUUGUCCAAUACAGGCCAGAAGAUAAAGCAAAGAACUUUUCUAUAACACAUGUCUGCCCAAAGACAUUCUUGGUGAUACCAAGAUAUUCAAGAUUCAUCUCAUCAAAUGUUUUGAUGUGAUAACCAUUUUCACGGAUAUCUUUAAAACUCAUCAAGUUUCUCUGAGACUUAGGAGAAAACAUGACAUUAUUUAUGAUGAGUAUAGUUCCCCUAGGAAAGAUUAUAAUGACUUUUUCGAAGCCUUCAAUCAAAUUAGCACUACCAGAAAUUGUAGUAACAUUAAUCUUGCCCAUGUUUAGGUGAGAGAAAUAUUUCUCAUUUUUGAAUAUCGUAUGUGUAGUGCCAAAAUCAAUCAAACAUAUAUCUUCCCAUUUUGACAACUUACUUUGAAAAUUAUCCAUAUCUUCAAAUAAAAUGACAUACACCAAAUAAGAUAUAUAUUAAAUUUUUGUACAAAGUGAAAGCUUAUACUAUAAAAAAUUGUUAAUCUGACAUUACUAAGCAAUUAAAAAAAUAUGUCCAAAAACUAUUGAAACAAUAUAAUAUUUGAUAAGGAAUCUAAUAUGUAAUAUAUUAUUUAUAAUUAAUAGUACGGAACAGUAUCGUGCAAUACAUACAAUAAUAAUAUAAUGUUAUUAUAUUAUAUUUUAUUUAGUACGUUAAUAUACAAUAAUAAUAUAAUAUUAUUAUAUUAUAUUUGAUAAAGAAUAGACUAAUAUUAUUAUAGUAUAUAAUCUGAAUACAUAUGGAUAAGUAAUGACUAUAUGUGAAUAUUAUAUUAAAAAUAUUAACAUGCAAAACUAAUAUUAAUGUUAACAUGCAAAACUAAAAAUAUUAACAUGCAAAAUAUUAAUAUGUAAUAAUGAACACAACAGAAGUUCGUGCAAGUUGCAUGAUCGUCGUAGUCUUUUUCCUUUUUUUUUUUCAAUUUAGUAAUGACGAAAUUGAAAUUCCAUUCACUUCAAUAAUAAAUUACAAUAAUAUAAUUGAAUUAAUCAAUAUGAAUUAAAAACCAAUACUCAUGCAAACAACUACUUUUACAUGAUUUUUAUUAUCUAACUCUUAUCAAUAAUAAUAAAAAUUUAAAAUCAUUCAUUCUUCCGUGUUUAUGGAACCAUCACCAAUCAAGUGAUCAAUCUUUCCUUCAGGGUGCUCCUAAAAGUCUGCCACAUCCAAGCAUGUGAUGUCAAGAUUAUUUUCAGAGAGAAAGUUAGCUUCGGGAUUUCUCUCUUUCUUCUUUAGUGAUGCUUGAUAAAGGUCCACUAAGUGCUUGAGAGCACGACAGUCACGUGAAUGGUAUCCUUUUCCACCACAUUAAAAAUAAGUAAUUGCUUCACAUUUCUUAUCUUUUCGCUUAUUGUUUGAUGAAUGAUUAACACCCGAAACAGGAUUUCUUACUUGGUCAUCACGACCACGACCUCAACCACGACCACGUCCACGACCACAUCCAUGACCAAAGCUGUGAUUUUUUCCACGCCUAGCAUAGUGAGCAUGCACAUCAUUCACCUCAGGGAAUGGUGCAGAUCCAGUAGGUUUAUUCUUGUAAUUUUUCAUCAACAAAUCAUUAUUUUGUUCGGCCACAAGAUGAUGAGAACUCAGCACAAUAUAUUUCUUAAAAUCUUUUUCUUGAUAUUAUUGUUGUAAUAGCACAUUUGAGGCAUGAAAAUAGAGUGUCUUUUCCAUCACAUCGUCAUUAUUGACCAUCUCUCCACAUAGUUUUAAUUGAGAAGAAAUUCUGAACAUGGCAGAAUUGUACUCAUGGACAGACUUAUAGUCUUGAAAUCUCAGAUGCAUCCAUUUAUAUCAUGCUUUCGGGAGGAUGACCAUCUUUAAGUGGUCAAACCUUUCUUUUAGGCUAUUCCAUAAUUCGAGUGGAUCCUUAGUAGUGAGGUAUUCAAUUUUCAGAAUUUCGUCAAGAUGAUGAUGCAAGAAAAUCAUAGCCUUAGCACGAUUUUGACUAGAUGUUGUAUUUUUAGCUUUUAUGGCGUCUCUAAGACCCAUAGUAUCUAGGUGGAUUUCAGCAUCCAACACCCAUGAAAUAUAGUUUUUGGCCAAACUUUGAAGGGAAAUGAACUCACACUUCGUAGUAUUGUUAGCCAUAAAAAGGGAAGAAAAAUAAUAAUACCUUAGCCUUAGCCUUCAAAUUUGAGACGGUAAAGUCUCGUGCUGAUAACGUGUUAUAAAACAAGAAAGAACAGAGAAGAAAAAGAGAAUAGAGAGAGUAAUUGUUACUUCUCUUGAGGGAUGAUUUACAAAGAAGGAAGCCCUUCUAUUUAUAGAGGGAAUUUUCCUCUAGUUUCAUACUAAAAGAUAAAUACAUCAAAUUCUGAUAGACAUCAAAUAGAUCUUGAUAGACAUUCACUAUAAUUGAUAUAUAUCAUAACAAAUAAUUUAUUCAUUCAUCUCAAAUUAGUUAUCCAAAACUUUCCAUAAAUGUGCUACUAUUCUAUGGUAAUAUUAAUUUUCAGACUCGGUAUAUCUAAUAAUUAACUAAAACAGUAUCACUACUCAUCGAUAAUAUGUAUUUCUGAACUAAGCAUACACGUGCAUCGCACGUGCUUUAAAACUAGAUAUAUAUNNNNNNNNNNNNNNNNNNNNNNNNNNNNNNNNNNNNNNNNNNNNNNNNNNNNNNNNNNNNNNNNNNNNNNNNNNNNNNNNNNNNNNNNNNNNNNNNNNNNNNNNNUAUAUAUAUAAUAUAUAUACUAGAGGUGCAUGGCCGUGUUAGCACGGGCCCAACACUAUAGACAUUUUUAGCACCAAAAAUCGAUAUUGAUGAGAUAAAAACAUAAAUGUACAUUGAACUAAAAUGAUAACUUUUUAAAUAAUAACUAUUUGACCAUACUCGCUAAGGAUUGAAGUUUUAUAAGAUAGUUUUUUCACAUGAUAAGAAAGUAUGAUAUGUCGUGUAGUCGGGAUAUUUUAACUAUUUGAUGAUAAGAUUGAGACCUAUUACAAAAUAUAGAAAAGAUGUAGAACUAAUAUUCAUAAGAUUAUUUCAAACAAAAACUGGAACAAAAGAUACUUCAAUUAACAACAAAGUCUUGGAUCAUCUUCUCAAAGGCAAAACACUUAUAAAUACAGAUAUUGAAAUGUUUUGAACCACUACUAAGUUAAGAAAUUCUUAUAGAUAGGUGCACAGUAUUAUCAGAUCUAGAUAUCCAAAUAUAACAACAUUUAGAAUUGGGGUGGCAGCGCGAAAAAUAUUUUCAAGAUUAACUAUUGUGAUUUAUAAUACUUUUUAUGUAAUUUUUAAAUGAUAUAUGUUAUACCCUCUGUCUCAAUUUAUGUGGUAUUGAUACAAUUUUUUAGAGUUAACUAAAUUUUUUACAUAUUUUUAAAAUACUUUAAAUUAUUAAUUGUUGUNNNNNNNNNNNNNNNNNNNNNNNNNNNNNNNNNNNNNNNNNNNNNNNNNNNNNNNNNNNNNNNNNNNNNNNNNNNNNNNNNNNNNNNNNNNNNNNNNNNNNNNNNNNNNNNNNNNNNNNNNNNNNNNNNNNNNNNNNNNNNNNNNNNNNNNNNNNNNNNNNNNNNNNNNNNNNNNNNNNNNNNNNNNNNNNNNNNNNNNNNNNNNNNNNNNNNNNNNNNNNNNNNNNNNNNNNNNNNNNNNNNNNNNNNNNNNNNNNNNNNNNNNNNNNNNNNNNNNNNNNNNNNNNNNNNNNNNNNNNNNNNNNNNNNNNNNNNNNNNNNNNNNNNNNNNNNNNNNNNNNNNNNNNNNNNNNNNNNNNNNNNNNNNNNNNNNNNNNNNNNNNNNNNNNNNNNNNNNNNNNNNNNNNNNNNNNNNNNNNNNNNNNNNNNNNNNNNNNNNNNNNNNNNNNCGAUAUUUGUUGUUCAUUGUUGCUGCUACUUUAUUCAUCAUCUUCUGAUUCAUUAUCAUCAUCUUAUACUUCAUUAUCAUCUUCAUAUUCUUCUUGUUGACCAUUGUUGUUGUUGUUGUUACCCCAACUGCUUUUCUUUGACCAAAUUCCUAUGUCAAAUUUUAUUUCGUAAAUCACUUUCAACUUUGGAAUUUACUUGAGAGGAGACUUUGGUAAGUCAGAUUAUGCUUUUUAGUUGAAUCUGGGUAACUGCUAGUGUAUUAUUUUUUCAACAAUAGCUUGCACGUGAACAUGAAUGCAAUACAAAAGCAAUAUGUUUAAACAGAUUCAUUAUCUGCAGCACCAGAUAAAUGUUCUGUUGUAACAGUGGACUCAUGUUGGAUUCAUGUUUAUGGGUUCUAGGUGCCUGUAAUAUGAAUUGAAUAGAUGGAUAUUCUGUUGCACCAGAUUAGUAAUUUGUUUCAACAGAUAAAUAAUCUUUUUUAUCAGAUUACUAAUAUGUUUCGAACAACAAAAUGCAGCUCCUGUUACACACAAACCUAACAGAUAACUCAUAUGUUCUUGCUAUUGAUAUAGGAAUCAAAUUAUACCUUAAUUGUAGACAUGUCAUUCGUUAAGAAAUGAAAUAGACAACACAAAAAUUAAAUAAGAAAUAAAAGUCAAGUGCAUCAAACAUAAUUUUUUAUAAAACAAAGAAAAAAAAUACAUAGAUAAAAGAAAAAAAAGCUUAAUUAUUAUUAUCAUCAUUAUUAUUUGAAUGGCCAUUCGACCAAUCUUCAACGGGCAGCAGCAACGCCCUCCUCAGCCUGCGGAUAUCCCGCAGCAUCCUUACUCUAACGACGUCCAACUCCCAAUGAAGGUCAUGAACCUCCUUCUGCAGUUCUCGCAUGACAUCUCAUAAAAUAGCGAUAUCCUAUACAAGAACAGUCAUAUCUAGAAAACACAUAAGUUGAUAAAACACACGUAAAAACAAAAGUAAAGAAAAGAAAGAAUUCGAAUGUAAUGUAAUAUACAAUGAAUAUUUACACAAAAAUCAAGAAAAAAACUUACUCGAGACAGGAAAAAGUUAUCAAGUCCUUGAAGAGAAAGUAGUUGAAGGUGUAACAAGAGAAAGGAAUAAAUAGUGUGUAGUAGAACGAACGACUGAGUAAGAAGGGACCUAUUUAUAAAGGAUUGAACUUGAGUGAGUUAGGCAAAAAAUCGGAACUGUUUACCUCCAUUUAUUAAUGACAUUCUUGAUUACUGUAAAAAGUUAUGACUUAAUUAAAUUAAUCAAUAUUAUGAUAAGUCAUGACUUUUCAGCUUUAUUAUUAUUAAUAAUUAGUUCUUUCCAGGAAUCGUUUUUUUACACUGAGUUGGACAACAGAUAAUAUAGUUGUUGUAUCAGAUAAAUCAUCUGUUGCAACAGAUAUAUCAUCAUUUCUAACAAAUAGAUAACUUGUUGCAUCAGAUAAUAUAUCUGUUGCAACAUAUAAUAUAUAUAUUUUUUAAAAAAAUAAAUUAUCUUCAUAACAUCCAAAUUUUCUGACUUUUUAAUUAUAUAAAUUAAUAAAGCAGAUUUAAAGGCACUGCUAUUCACCUCCAUUUAUUAAUGAUAUUCUUGAUUACUGUAAGAAGUUAUGACUUAAUUAAAUUAAACAAUAUUGUGAUAAGUCAUGACUUUUCAGCUUUAUUAUUAUUAAAAUAAUUAGUUCUUUCCAGGAACCAUUUUUUAUUUACACUGAGUUGGACAAUAGAUUAUAUAUCUGUUGCGUCAAAAAAUUCAUCUGUUACAACAGAUAUAUCAUCCAUUGCAACAAAUAGAUAACCUGUUGCAUAAGAUAAUAUAUAUGUUUCAACAUAUAAUAUAUAUUUUUUAAAAAUAAAUUAUCUUCAUGACAUCUAAAUUUUCUGACAUUUUAAUUAUAUAAAUUAAUAAAGCAGAUUUAAAGGCACAACUGUUCACCUCCAUUUAUUAAUGACAUUCUUGAUUACUGUAAAAAGUUAUGACUUAAUUAAAUUAAUCAAUAUUGUGAUAAGUCAUGACUUUUCAGCUUUAUUAUUAUUAAUAAUUAGUUCUUUCCGGGAAUCAUUUUUUUACAUUGAGUUGGACAACAGAUAAUAUAUCUGUUGCAUCAAAUAAAUCAUCUAUUAUAAUAGAUAUAUCAUCAUUUACAACAAAUAGAUAACCUGUUGCAUCAGAUAAUAUAUUUGUUGCAACAUAUAAUAUAUAUAUAUAUAUAUUUAAAAUAAAUUAUCUUCAUGAAAUCUAAAUUUUUUGACUUUUUAAUUAUAUAAAUUAAUAAAGCAUAUUUAAAGACACAGCUGUUCACCUCCAUUUAUUAAUGACAUUCUUGAUUACCGUAAGAAGUUAUGACUUAAUUAAAUUGAGCAAUAGUGUGAUAAGUCAUGAUUUUUCAGCUUUAAAAUUAUUAAAAUAUUAAUUUUUUCCAGCAACCACUUUUUUACACUGAGUUGGACAACAAAUUAUAUAUCUGUUACAUCAGAUAAAUCAUCUGUUACUACAGAUAUAUCAUCCGUUGCAACAAAUAGUUAACUUGUUGCAUUAGAUAAUAUAUUUGUUGCAACAUAUAAUAUAUAUAUAUUUUUUAAAAAAAUAAAUUAUCUUCAUGACAUCCAAAUUUUCUGACUUUUUAAUUAUAUAAAUUAAUAAAGAAGAUUUAAAAACAAGAAUAUUUUUGGUGAGUUUUUAACGGUUUAAAUUGUGUUUAUCAUUUAUUUCCUUAUUCUUUUCUAUGAAAAGAAAUGACUUAAUUAAAUCUAACUGGUGAGUUUUUUUAUUAUUGUGACAAGUCAUGACUUUUCAGCUUAUUGAAUUUAAAUAACCUUUUCUCAAUCUAAAAAUCGAAUACACCUGGUUUUCAAUAACCGUUCCGUUUCUUUUCUUUAAUAACUAUUUUUAUUAAUUGAGUUACGGCAACAGAUUGUAUAUAUGUUACAUCAGAUAACCCAUCUGUUUCAACAGAUAUAAUAUCUGUUGCUAGAAAUUGACCAUCUGUUUAAGGAUCUUUUUAAAUUUCUUCUAACUAAUUCAUCAGUCGCAACAGAUGAGGAAUUUGAUGCAUCAAAAAUGUUUUUUGUUUUUAUUUGUUGAAUGUGUUUAGACAAAAGUCACAGUCACGACUAUUCAUUAAUUUUUUUUCUCAAAAAUCAUAUCAUCAGAUAUGUUAAUUAAAUUAAUCCAAUGUUGUGACUUUUUUUAAAUUAAAUAAUCUUUCUUUUACGAUUAUAAUAUCAUUUAGUUCCUUAUUAUUUAUUAACGAACCAUUUUAGGAGAAUUUCUCAUCAUGACUUUCACCACCAUCUGUUGUCACAAGUGCUCAUUUCGUAUCUCCAACCGUCGACAUGUUGAGAAUAGGGAAUAAAUAGAAUGACAAUUAAAUAAUGAAUAAGAAUUAAAAAUUCAAAGUCGACCAAAAACUAAACCAAACAUACAUAUAUAUGCAUUUUUUUGAAUCCCUUAUAAGUAGAUCGGAUAUAAAAAAGAAAAAUACAUACGCUAAAAGAAAGAAAAAAUAUAACCUAAUUAUUAUUAUUAUUAUUAUUAUUAUUAAUAUUAUUAUUGUCAACAUGACAAUUUUCAUUCGGCAGCAGCUGGACCCUCCUCAGCCUUGCUCCGAAGUCGGCCAAAUCCCUCUGGAGUUCACCAAACUGCCUUUAAAGUUUCUGCAAGGACUCUAUAUGAACCUUCUUGUACGAAUCUGGAUCAUCCAUAUUAGUAUUGUAAGUAUAGUAGAAUGAACGAUUGAGUGAGGAGUGAGAGGAGGCCGGAAGGAGCUAUUUAUAAAAUGAUUGAAUUAGAAGGGACUGGACUUAGUCAAACAAAAAGUCACGACUGUUCAUAUCCCUUAAUUAAAUAAAACUGGUGACUUUUCGAAUAUGUAAAUUAAAAAAAUGGAUCUAAAUACAACAUUUUAUCUUUUUAUUGUAUUUCGGAAAGAGACAGAUUGGUAAUCUGUUGCAAAAUAUAUUCCACCUGUCAAUAACUUACAAUACAACAUAUGGACAAUCUAUUGAAACAGAUGGAUAUAUUAGUUUGCUUUUCCAUUAGCUGUGGCGUCUGUUGCACUUGCUAGUCAUCUAUUUAUUCAGUUUCAUUGAGAGCAAUCGAUUUUUCUACACACUUCUUUGCCAAACUCAAUUUUUGCUCUUGGAUUGCUUCUCUUUUUUUCUUUGCAACCUUCAACCAAAUUAAAUUUUUGCAAUUGAAUUAAUGGAAAAAAUUGAAUUUGGAGGCCAGCUUGAAGGAUACAAAGAAAAAAACAGAAGCAAUCCAAGAGCAAAAAUUGAGUUUGGCCAAGAAGUGUUUAGAAAAAUAUAUUGCUCUUGAUGAAAUUGAACAAAUAGAUGACUAGCAAGUGCAACAGAUGCCACAACUAAUAUAAAAGUAAACUGAUAUAUCCACCUGUUGCAACAGACUAUCCAUAUGUUGUAUUGUAAGUUAUCUGACAGGUGGAAUAUAUUUUGCAACAGAUUACCGAUCUGUCUCUUUUUGAAAUACAAUAAAAAGAUAAAAUAUUGUAUUUAGAUCCAUUUUUCUUAAUUUACAUAGUCGAAAAGUCACCAGUUUUAUUUAAUUAAGGGAUAUGAACAGUCAUGGCUUUUUGUUUGACUAAGUCAAGUCACCACCACUUUCAAUCUAAUCAUUUUGUCAUUGUGGUCGUUAAGCUCAGUAUAGAUCUCUUGAUCUUUUGUGAGUUUGUCAACGAGGACCACUCUCUUUCUUGGCAGCUUUCUUAUAAUACUCCUCUUGGUCCUUCUUAGCUCUACGCAAGGUCAAGGAGAAGUAUGGAGAGUUCUUUUUGAGUUUUUCCAAGGAAAGCGCUCUCUCGGCUGAUAAAUCCUAUGCUGCAGCAUAUAUGGAUAGUGCAGUACUCAAUACAGAAUAGUUUUCUGGUAGAAACAAGUCUUGAGAAGACAUAAUCAGUAAUCUAUCAAUAUCAACUUUCGCUGUGUUAAGCAGUUUUGUUGAUAUCUUGUCUUCUACGGAGAAGAUUGAUCAACAGAAAAACCAAGUGAUUGAGAUCGUUUAAUCUGUUGACUAACUUGAGCAAAGACAUUUUUUGGAUUAUCAAACUUCACAAGGCAGUCUGGUGGUUCAAUAACAUCAGAUGUCUUAUUUUUGGUAUUAGCUAAUGAUGGGGAAAUUCUGCCUUCCUCACCAUCCUGAAAAGAAAAACGCUCAAAAUUAGAUGGAGUUUCUCUACAUAACGAAACAAGAUGAACUAAAUCUAGCAUUCAGUUUUUCCUUCCUAUUCCCCACCCCUUUUUAUCUUUUCACCUUUAUCAGAUCCAAACUUUUUCUUUUUUUCGAUACUUGAUAAUGCCUUGAAAAUUGCUUUCUUUCUUCUCUUAGCCUUAAUAUCUAAUGGAGUGAAUGAAACUAAAAUCCUCUUUGAUCGAAUGACACUACUGUUAGAUGUCAAUUCUUUUACAUCAGCAGUUAAUAUAUUAAUAGUAUUAAUCACACCAUCAUGUUUUGCCUUGCACUCUUCACAUUUUCAUGCACAAGAUAAGCAAAAAGGGGCAAGAUUGAUCAUUCUUCUACCAUAUAGAGGACAACAUAUCUUUCAUGCAAAAGUCUACACCGUCGCCAAAAAUGCUUGCCAUAGCAAAAGUCUAUAGAAGGUAGGACAAAUAAACAUGAGCAACAUCCGACAUUAAAUCUUAACAAAGUAUCAGAACCAUAUUCAUGGUCCCUCAGCGUUAUCAGUUUGGACCUACCAAACUUAACUGUAAAAUUGCAAAUAUCUUGUUUGAAUGAUUAUGACUAAUCGGUAAAAACAAUAUUCACAAAAUCAGUGUAUUCUAUAUGUGUUUCCACGAUUACAUUAUCAGUAAAACAUACCUCCCACAUAUGAAGUGGUUCCAUCUGUAUGCAGCUUAUUCAUUCGAACCUAUCUUUACUGCAACCUUUUGUGAUGGUCAGACAAAAGUUGAUCAACUAUCAGUUCCUUUUAUAUCUACAAAGAAGAAGGAAAAAAUUCAUUUCACAGAAAGAAAAUUAUCCUUCUGUUGCAAUAGAUGUAGAGUCUGUUGAUCAGAUGAGGAGUUUGUUCGUCAGAUGUGAAGUCUGUAGCAUCAGAUGUGGAGUCUGAUGCAAAAGAUAUGGAGUCUAUUGGAAUACAUAGCAGCCUUGUUGGUGGUUUGAUUUGUUCCAACAGUUGCUCCGUCUAUUGAAAUAUCAACAACAACAUAAACUACAAACAACAAAUAAAAAAUAUCAACAACAAAAAAAACAACAACAUUUAUUCCAACAUCAUCAUCAACAACAAAGAAGCAUACAUUCUAUAUUCCAACACCAUCAACAACCAGGGAUGGACCCACAUGGAGUCCUCCGAGUGCGCGAGCAUAGACUGAACUCGUAUCGAACUUUAUAUAUGUAUAUAAAAAUUAAGAAAAAACGUAUAUAAUCUAAUCAGUGAGCACCCAUAGUAAGAGUUGUUUGGUUAGCCUAGUUGUUGUUUAUGGGUGCUUAAGGCUAUUUAUUUCUUUUGGUCUUGAGUUCAAUUCCCACUCAGCACAUAUUUUUUUAAUUUUGGUAACCAACUCUUCUCUCCUUAUUCACUUUAAACUUUCUUUUAUUUUUUUCUCCCUUACUCUUUGUGUUGAUUAUUCGGACUCCACUAUAUUUAAGCUAAAAAGCACCCACCAUCUAAAAAACCUGGAUCCACCACUAUCAACAACACCACACCACAAGUUCCAACAAUGCCAACCUCACCAACAACAUCAAUAACAACAUCAAAAAUAAAGAAACAAACAAAAUACAUAAAAAAAAAUGAUACUGCCAACAAGGCUUUUAAACUUCUCCCAAUAGAUGACUUUUUUUCGCAUCUUGUAAUAAAAAUUCUCGAUUUGUUUAUUCAACAAUUAAAAGUUCCUUCAAAUUUUUUAAAUAAAUAUGAUAUGGGAAAAUGGUAAUUAAAUUUAAAAAAUGUAAAUAACUUGCAAUAAGAAGACUAGAAUAAAAGAGCAAUGGUGAAUCACAUCCUACCUUAAUGUCAAAAGGAGGUCAAAACAGAAAUUUCAGUCGAGGAUUCUAAGAUAUGGAUAUGGAUCGAUUUAGAUCCGAACAAGAAUUUAUGAGAAAGAGGAGAGAAAAAAAGGUUGUGAUAACCCUAAAGAGGAUAGAAAGAAAAAAAUGAGAGGCGAAUAAAAUAAAUUUAGGCUAAAGAAGAGGAGAGGAGAGAUGAGAUAAUUCUAAUUUCUAGAUGUACUACCCUUAAUAUUAAAUUACUAAACAAAGUGUAUUUAUUCAAAUUUAUAUUUUCAAAGAAUAAUUAAUAAGGCUAAUUUGAUAGUAAAAUAAACCCCUAAUUAAUAUUUUCUUAAUGGGUGUGCCAAGUCAAUAUGAAACGGAAGAAGUAUUAGGGGUUUCAAUAUUCAUUAAUUAAUAUUCACUAAUAAUUUGAGGGGCACGAGGAAGAAAAUGGGUGACAUUAAAAAGACAGGACAAGACUAAUCAAUGAGAUUUUUGAGUUAUCCAAGAAACAUUUUUUACCACCUUUAGUAGUACUACUACUUUAUCUACUCGUACAAUGGCUUGCUUUAAAAUUAAAAGAAAAAAAAAGAUUUUCAAACAGAUAUGUCGCCUGUUGCAACAGAUUUAAAUAUCUGUUUGAAAAAUCCCAACAACUCAUUCAUCUGUGACAAUAGAUAGAAAUGUCCAUUUGAUAACUAAAUCAAAAAUAUCAUCUGUUACAACAGAUAUCAAUAUCUGUUUGAAAAUUUCCAACAGCUCAGUCAUUAUCAUAACAUAUGCAAAUAUCUAUUUGAUAAUUAAAUCAGAUAUGUCAUCUGUUACAACAGAUAUUGUUAUCUAUUUGAAAUUCUCCAACAGCUCAGUCUUUUGUUAGAACAGAUUUCAUUGCAAUUAAUUUAGGUGGAAUUAGGGAUGAAAGAAUAAGCUCCUCAUUAACUUGAUACUAAGAUUAAUAAUAGUACCUACAUCGAUCUAGGUGGAAUGAUGGAUGAAUAAAUAAUCUCACAAGGUCAACUACAAAUCCAAUUGAGUCAUUGCAUUUGCAUGGUGUUAGAAUUGCGUUCAUCCCAACCCGAGUCAUCAAUCGAUCACUUUGAGUUGAAAUGAGUUCUCAUUAAUUUAAUGUUAAGAUUAACAAUAGUACCUACAUUGAUAUAGGUGGAAAUAGGGAUGGAUGAAUGAGCUUAAAGGGUCAACUACAACUUUAAUUGAGUCUUUUGAAAAUUGCAUGAUGAGACGGUACUGCAUUCCUCACGACAAGAGUCAUCGAUAGAUCAGUCUGAGACGAACCGAUUCUUACUACCUCGUAUAUUUAACUAAUACCUUAACUGAAUAAUCUGGGACAAGGGGUGAGUUCUCAUAGGGUCAACUACAACUUCAAUUGAGUCUUUUGGCAAUUGCAUGAUAAGACGGGACUGCAUUCCUCCCGACAAGAGUCGUCAAUCGAUCAUUCUGAGCCGAACCAAUGUUUACUAACUUAUAUGUUUAACUAAUACCUUAAUUGAUUAAUCUAGGACUACGGGUGAGUUCUCAUAAUGUUAACUACAAUAGAUGACAAUGCUUAUUUGAUAAUUUACAACAGAUGGGUAAUCUAUUGCGAUAUUAACUUAAUCCAUUUGAUAAUUUACAACAUAUGGGUAAUCUAUCGCAACGGAUACUUAAAUUGUUUGAUAGUUUACAAUAGAUUUGUGAUCUAUUGCAAUAACUGAUGUAAUUUGUUUGAUAGUUUACAACAGAUGCAUAAUAUAUUGCAACAGAUUACAUAAUCUGUUUUAUUUGAUCCAACAAAAAAGACAUAUGUUGCAAUGGGUUGAACAUUUGUUUAUAUAUAAUUCAAUUGAGUUCAUAUGUUAGACUAAUACCUUAAUUGAAUGUGAGUUCUCAUAGGGUCAACUACAACUUCAAUUUAGUCUUUUGGCAAUUGCAUGAUGAGACAGUACUACGUUCCUCUCGACCAGAGUCAUCGAUCGAUCACUCUGAGCCGAACCGAUUCUUACUACCUUAUAUGUUAGACUAAUACCUUAAUUGAUUAAUCUAGGACUAGGUUGCUAAUACCUUAAUUGAAUAAUCUAGGACUAGAGGUGAGUUCUCAUAGGGUCAACUACAACUUCAAUUGAGUCUUUUGGCAAUUGCGUGAUGAGAUAGUACUACGUUCUUUCUGACAAGAGUCGUCGAUCGAUCAUUCUGAGCCAAACCGAUUCUUACUACCUCAUAUGUUAGACUAAUACCUUAAUUGAUUAAUCUAGGAGUAGGGUACUAAUAUCUUAAUUGAAUAAUCUAGGACUAGGGGUGAGUUCUCAUAGGAUAAACUAUCGAUUAAUCUAGGACUAGGGGUGAGUUCUCAUAGGGUCAACCACAACAGAUGGCAACGCCUAUUUGAUAAUUUACAACAUAUGGGUAAUAUAUUGCGACAUAUGCUAAUCCAUUUAAUAAUUUACAACAGAUGGGUAAUCUGUCGCAAUAGAUAACUUAAUUUGUUUGAUAAUUUACAACAGAUUCAUAAUCUGUUGUUACCUAAUCUGAUUGAUAAUUUACAACAGAUGAGAAAUCUGACGUAACAUGUUAAACAUUUGUUUUUUAAAAUUUUAAUUGUGUUCAUAUGUUAGACUAAUUGUACCUAAAUUGAUUAAUCUAGGACCAGGGGUGAGUUUUCAUAGGGUCAACUAGAGUACUCGGUCAACUACAACUUCAAUUGUUUUUAUACAAUUUCAAUUAAAUUACUCUUUUGACAAUUGCAUGAUGAGAGGGUUAAAAAUUACGCAUAUAUUUUAUGAUUUUUAAAACAAUUAAGAUCAAUUCGGACUAAAUUAACAUUUUCAAAACUACUUGUCAUUCUUUUCCAAAAUACAAAUCAAUCCAUAAAAAAUGUUUCAUCAUUUCAAAUCUCGACCACAUAGGUGUUAUUUUCGACUUCAUUCUUGCUUGUAUUAGUCAUUUUCUUUGUCUUCGUAGGCAAUAGAGUUCGAAAAAAGCUUUAUAUUUUUUUUUUUUUUUUCUAAAAAAUAAGGACUUUUAAGUUAAUGAUGAAAAGUAAAACUUUUAGUUGUAUUGUCUCUUAGAAUGAGUUUACAAUUUUGAGUUUUAAUGGUAAAAUCAUAGGAAGAACUCGAGAAAUCCCUAGUUUCUGUCACAGUGUUCCGUUGACUGUCGUGGUAUUGUUGGAUGGUGUUUGUGGUAUUGGUGGUGGUGGCACUAGUGGUGGCAUUGGUUGGUGCUGUUUAUGGUGGCUAUCGGUGGUGUCGGUAUUCGCGGUGUUUGUUUA